GACGAACGCUGGCGGCGCGCUUAACACAUGCAAGUCGAACGGAAAGGCCUGCUUUCCCUUGUGGAUUGCGGGUACUCGAGUGGCGAACGGGUGAGUAACACGUGAGUGAUCUGCCCCCAACUUGGGUAUAAGCCUGGGAAACAGGGUCUAAUUCCCGAUAGGACUGCAGGGUGGUGCCUGUGGUGGAAAACGAUUUUCUAGUGGUUGGGGAUGAGCUCGCGGCCUAUCAGCUUGUUGGUGGGGUAAUGGCCUACCAAGGCGGCGACGGGUAGCCGGCCUGGGAGGGUGGACGGCCACAUUGGGACUGAGAUACGGCCCAGACUCCUACGGGAGGCAGCAGUGGGGAAUAUUGCACAAUGGGCGGAAGCCUGAUGCAGCGACGCCGCGUGGGGGAUGACGGCCUUCGGGUUGUAAACUCCUUUCGACCGCGAGGAAGCCACCUGGUUGGAAGGGUGGUGACGGUAGUGGUAGAAGAAGCACCGGCUAACUACGUG
rnacentral:rRNA from 1 species